AGUGAACGCUGGCGGUAGGCCUAACACAUGCAAGUCGAACGGCAGCACAGUAAGAGCUUGCUCUUACGGGUGGCGAGUGGCGGACGGGUGAGGAAUACAUCGGAAUCUACUUUUUCGUGGGUGAUAACGUCGGAAAAUUUCUGCUAAUCCCGCAUUUAUCGUCCGGGGGAAGGCAGGCGUUGUUUGAGCUUGUUGGGAUGGAAUGAGCCUAUGUAGGAUUCGCUAGUUGGCGGGGUAAAGGCCCACCUAGGCGACAAUCGGUAGCUGUUCUGAAAGGAUGAUCAGCCACACUGGAACUGAGACACAGUACCGACUCCUGCGGUGGGAAGCAGUGGGGAAUAUUGGACAAUGGGCGAGUGCCUGAUCCAGCCAUACCGCGUGGGUGAAGAAGGACUUCGGGUUGUAGAGCCCUUUUGUUGGGAAAGAAAAACAGCAGGUUAAUACCCCGCUGUUCUGACGGUACCCAAAGAAUAAGCACCGGCUAACUUCGUG
rnacentral:rRNA from 1 species